rnacentral:misc_RNA from 1 species
UACGUAGGGUCCAAGCGUUAUCCGGAAUCACUGGGCGUAAAGCGUGCGUAGGUGGCGCGUUAAGUGAGAUGUUAAAUCGUGUGGCUCAACCAUAUCGAUGCAUCUCAUACUGGCGUGCUAGAGGACAGCAGAGGCAAGUGGAAUUUGUAGUGUAGCAGUGAUAUGCGUAGAUAUUACAAGGAACACCAAUGGCGAAGGCAGCUUGCUGGGCUACUCCUGACACUGAGGUACGAAAGCGUGGGGAGCGAACAGG